rnacentral:miRNA from 14 species
GGUUUCUCUGUGUAGCCCUGGCUGUCCUGGAACUCACUCUAUAGACCAGGCUGGCCUUGAACUCAGAGAUCCACCUGCCCCUGCCUCCUGAGUGCUGGGAUUAAAGGCAUGGCCAACA